rnacentral:rRNA from 1 species
GAUGAACGCUGGCGGCGUGCCUAAUACAUGCAAGUCGAGCGAACAGACGAGGAGCUUGCUGCUCUGACGUUAGCGGCGGACGUGUGAGUAACACGUGGAUAACCUCCCUAUAAGACUGGGAUAACUUCGGGAAUCCGGCGCUAAUACCGGAUAAUAUUUUGAACCGCAUGGUUCAAUAGUGAAAGACGGUUUUGCUGUCACUUAUAGAUGGAUCCGCGCUGCAUUAGCUAGUUGGUAAGGUAACGGCUUACCAAGGCAACGAUGCGUAGCCGACCUGAGAGGGUGAUCGUCCACCCUGGAACUGAGACGCGGUCCAGACGCCUACGGGAGGCAGCAGUAGGGAAUCUUCCGCAAUGGGCGAAAGCCUGACGGAGCAACGCCACGUGAGUGAUGAAGGUCUUCGGAUCGUAAAACUCUGUUAUUAGGGAAGAACAAAUGUGUAAGUAACUGUGCACUUCUUGACGGUACCUAAUCAGAAAGCCACGGCUAACUACGUG